rnacentral:rRNA from 1 species
UAGUCUACGCCGUAAACGAUGGAUACUAGUUGUUUGGCUUUCGGGCUGAGUGACUAAGCGAAAGUGAUAAGUAUCCCACCUGGGGAGUACGUUCGCAAGAAUGAAACUCAAAGGAAUUGACGGGGGCCCGCACAAGCGGUGGAACAUGUGGUUUAAUUCGAUGAUACGCGAGGAACCUUACCCGGGCUUAAAUGUAGAUUGCAUGUUUCAGAGAUGAACUUUCCUUCGGGACUAUCUACAAGGUGCUGCAUGGUUGUCGUCAGCUCGUGCCGUGAGGUGUCGGGUUAAGUCCCAUAACGAGCGCAACCCCUAUCGUUAGUUACCAUCAGGUUAUGCUGGGGACUCUAGCGAGACUGCCACCGUAAGGUGAGAGGAAGGUGGGGAUGACGUCAAAUCAGCACGGCCCUUAUGUCCGGGGCUACACACGUGUUACAAUGGUAGGGACAGAGGGUUGCGGUCUGGUGACAGAUAGCUAAUCCCUAAACCCUAUCCCAGUUCGGAUUGGAGUCUGCAACUCGACUCUA